rfam:Ictidomys tridecemlineatus contig061174, whole genome shotgun sequence.
GGGAUUGUAGCUCAGUGGUAGAGCACUUGCCUAGUACGUGCAAGGACCUGAGUUUGAUCCUCAGCACCA